CAGCUGCCAAUCUCUCCAGCAAGAUUGACAAAGGCUGAAAUUCUGACCUUCAAAUAUAGAGACAAAUUGCUGAACAUGAUCCUGCUAAAGGGAACUCUCAGGUGAAUGUGCUGUUGCUGCUACACAGAGACAUGGGCAGCUCAGGUGUUCUGUGCUUAAAUAGCUGA
rnacentral:lncRNA from 1 species